ACGACCUUACUUGAACAGGAUCUGUUCUAUAGGCUCGUACUACUGUGUCCUUGAUUUCUAAGGAGACAGGAACUUAAGUCUGGUGGGUGAAUCACGACCGUGAGAUCAGAGCGUGAUUUAACGGCCAGGAUGAAUCGCAUGUUGUGUGGUAUCAACUCAGCUGUAGAUGAUCGUUCCUAGUUGGUUUCACUCACUAGGGUGAUCGAACGGUAUUCUGACAGACU